rnacentral:rRNA from 1 species
GAACUGGAUGUUGGGUGCAAUUUGGCACGCAGUAUCGAAGCUAACGCGUUAAAUUCGCCGCCUGGGGAGUACGGUCGCAAGACUGAAACUCAAAGGAAUUGACGGGGGCCCGCACAAGCGGUGGAGUAUGUGGUUUAAUUUGAUGCAACGCGAAGAACCUUACCUGGCCUUGACAUGUCGAGAACUUUCCAGAGAUGGAUUGGUGCCUUUGGGAACUCGAACACAGGUGCUGCAUGGCUGUCGUCAGCUCGUGUCGUGAGAUGUUGGGUUAAGUCCCGCAACGAGCGCAACCCUUGUCCUUAGUUGCCAGCACGUAAUGGUGGGAACUUUAAGGAGGCCGCCGGUGACAAACCGGAGGAAGGUGGGGAUGACGUCAAGUCAUCAUGGCCCUUUCGGCCAGGGCUACCCCCGUACUUCAAUGGUAGGGACAGAGGGGUGCAAGCCGGCGACGGUAAGCCAAUCCCAGAAACCCUAUUUCAGUCCGGAUUGGAGUUUGCAACUUGACUCCAUGAAGUUGGAAUCGCUAGUAAUCGCAGAUCAGCAUUGCUGCGGUGAAUACGUUCCCGGGCCUUGUACACACCGCCCGUCACACCAUGGGAGUUUGUUGCACCAGAAGCAGGUAGCUUAACCUUCGGGAGGGCGCUUGCCACGGUGUGGC